AUGCUCAGGAGGCGGCAUUAUAACAUCAAUGAAGGUUUCAAUUGCGUCCUUUGUAACGCUGGGGUGGAGGAAACCAUUGAGCAUUUAAUUUUCACGUGUCCCUUUAGCUCUUCUUGCUGGCAUAAAGUGGGGAUUACGUGGAACUUACACCACUCCAAGAUUGAUGCCUUCCAAGCUGCCAGACAAUCUUUUAACGGGGAACUCUUCUUUGAAUUUGUGGGAAUUGUGGCCUGGAAUAUUUGGAAGGAAAGGAAUAACUUUAUUUUCAGGCAGAUACCUCCCUCUUUGGCUGCUUGGAGGGGAAGGACUAAGGAGGACCUCCUCUGGAUCAAAUUUAGAGUAGACAAAGCUCACUGGGACUACAUUACUCUAUUUGCCCUAGCUUUGUAA
rnacentral:rRNA from 1 species